AAGUAAGAUUCUAAACUAGUAUUUAAUUUCGACUUAAACUUUGAAGUAACCCAGCCUUCCUUACUUA
rnacentral:tRNA from 1 species